rnacentral:piRNA from 1 species
UGGUGAGCGCAACUGUUCCUAUCAGCA